rnacentral:misc_RNA from 1 species
UUUCCGUAGGUGAACCUGCGGAAGGAUCAUUAACGAGUUUUGAAACGGGUUGUAGCUGGCCUUUCCGAGGCAUGUGCACGCCCUGCUCAUCCACUCUACACCUGUGCACUUACUGUGGGUUUCGGGAGACGGUCGCGCCUUCACGGGUUGCGGUCGUUGAUCGGGCCUGCGUUUUACCACAAACCACAAAGUAUCAGAAUGUGUAUCGCGAUGUAACGCAUCUAUAUACAACUUUCAGCAACGGAUCUCUUGGCUCUC